AAUGUUAAGGCAAGGCCAAGAGAACAAAAUAAGAGUGGUACGGAAAGGUGAUAGACUUGGUUAACAAGUAGGAAAGGUGAUACAGCAAUAGCAAAAGCAAAAGAGCGUUGGGGUGGUAAUAGCUUUACCGGAAAAGGAAAGGGAAUAAAUCUUACGAAACAACACCACCACCACCGUUGUUUCUACAGACAAAAUGCUUUUGCCCUCAGCCUUUUAACUGGAAAUUUUCAAAGCUUGGAUGUUCCUUUUUGUAAAGACGAGUUGUGAGAGCUGG
rnacentral:lncRNA from 1 species